rnacentral:rRNA from 1 species
UACGGAGGGGGCUAGCGUUGUUCGGAAUUACUGGGCGUAAAGCGCGCGUAGGCGGACCUGCAAGUCGGGGGUGAAAGCCCGAGGCUCAACCUUGGAACUGCCUUCGAUACUGCGGGUCUCGAGUCCGGGAGAGGUGAGUGGAAUUCCUAGUGUAGAGGUGAAAUUCGUAGAUAUUAGGAAGAACACCAGUGGCGAAGGCGGCUCACUGGCCCCGGUACUGGACGCUGAGG